AGACCUGAGUGAGGAGGACCAGGGACAUUAUACUUGUGUUGUUGACGAACGCUACCAAACACAUAUUUCUCUCCUGGUCAAAGCAAACACAUUGACAACUAAAUCAACUCCUGGAAAACAAACACCAGCAACUAAGGAAAAAGAUGAUAAAAGCAGAGGUGGAACAACAUCACCCCUCUGCAUUGCAAGUUUCAUUUCUGUACUUUUGUUACUGCUGCUUUUGGGAGGACUUGCAUUCACCUUCUGGAGAUAUAAAGGACAGAGAGAGAGGCAGAUGGGGAAUGACAACAGACAAAGAAGGGGCACAGACCAAGAACGUGAUGUAAGCAUACAUAAAGAUCAAAUACUUCCUGUGUUGCAUUACACAUUCAAAAAGGCUGUU